rnacentral:lncRNA from 1 species
GAGAAGGAAAAUAUAGUUCUGUGUGCUGGCACAGGGGUGAUACGAUAAGCCAUUGCUAAGCGUGAUGAAAUAUAUACAGGAGUCUUGCGCCAUGCAAACUCCACAUCAUAUUCGUAUUUAAAAGUGUUUUGACUAAUAUAUACCAUUACUAAUACUUUCUAAUAUCAUAUAGUAGAUUCACUGUUGCCACAAGUAAUGGAAAACAAAGGACAAUGUAUGUUUAGUCCCGUGAAAUAUAAUUUACUGGGCCUUGUCUAUCUACCGUUUGCGACCCCUGGCACACCGAGCAAGCAUUGAUUCUUAAGCGACUGGUUGCUGCUCUCUCGUUGCAGUUACCAGUAACUGGUUGCGACAAUGAAGCGAUCGCUAACUGGCGAGGUGUUCCAGUGGCGACAGGGGCGAGGGACACUUGCCAGUGCCUGCCCCUGGUAAGAAGCCACGGCUCUGUAUCAGGGGCAGGUACCCACCCCCCCUCUCCCGGACUGAUAUGUGGCUACUCGACCCCCGCACGGAUCGCGGACUUCCUCUGGCAACCGACCUUUGCCAGGCCCCCUUUCCCCCCUCCAGCCUCCACACACAGACGCUGGCUGAACAUCUCUCCUACAAGCACUGCAAGAAUUCCUUUGAUUUCUGGUGCACCUCCUCUUGCUUGGGGGCAACCCGAAGAAACAAGCCACGUCCUUUGUUCUCGUAAUUGCAGAUAUUGGAUGUUUCAACCAUUGGUAAUUUGUGAUCUCUAUUGUUUGACACCGAGGCCUCGGAAUGACAAUCUCACCGAUUUCAAAUUGCAUAUCGUUCAUUGCAUAUGCUCUCCACGAUAAAAAAAAAACACGAUGCUUGUAUCAAGUGUCCCUUUGAACACUGCUUUGUUCAUGAGAGCUCGGUCAGCGAUGUACCUGGACGGCGUGGCAAUUGGCUAUAUAUAUUUUACUCCCUACGUUCAUGUAUUGGUGAUGUUCCUUAAAAUAGUUUUUAGCUCAAUGUCCUGAGCACUAUGUUGUAUUUUAAAGUACAAUAUGUCGUGCUGCUGUGUAUUAGACUAUCUGAAGUUGUUUCUCACUGUUGAAUAAAAUUUAUUUUGGUUAA